rnacentral:rRNA from 1 species
UACGUAGGGUGCAAGCGUUGUCCGGAAUUAUUGGGCGUAAAGAGCUCGUAGGCGGUCUGUCGCGUCGGAUGUGAAAACCCAGGGCUCAACCCUGGGCCUGCAUUCGAUACGGGCAGACUAGAGUUCGGUAGGGGAGACUGGAAUUCCUGGUGUAGCGGUGAAAUGCGUAGAUAUCAGGAGGAACACCGAUGGCGAAGGCAGGUCUCUGGGCUGACACUGACGCUCAUGCACGAAAGCGUGGGGAGCAAACAGG